rnacentral:lncRNA from 1 species
CGGACCCGGACAGGACUGAUGGCCUCAGAGAGGUCAAGGGCUCGGGACUGGAGAAGCAGCCAACUGGAGCUGAUAUUCGGGAAGCUAAGCCUGAGGCUGCUCUGGAGGGCCGGAGAAGCGAGCGGCCAGGCUUGGCACCCGCCAAAUGUGCCUUGCCAAAAUGAAGAGGAAGGAAGGCGACUCCGGAGCCCAGCAGGGCUGCGCUUUUGGCCUGAAUUUUCAGUGACAAAUAGAAAAGCUGAAUGGAUGGAGACAAUGACUCUUUAAUUCAAUGUAAGAGCUGACUCAUCGCUUCCCAGGAAGACUUGUUGCAGGUAGGUGAUGGUUAUCCUGGAACUGGAGAUUAUCCCAGUCCUUUGUUGCACUGGCAAU